AUGGGAAAAUGGGAAUUUCUACUGGAAAAUCAGGGAAUUUCUCUGGAAAACUGGGAAUUUCCUCGGGAAAAAUGGGAAUUUUCUGGGGGAAAAUGGGAAUUUCUCUGGAAAACUGGGAAUUUCUCCCUGGAAAAUCAGGGAAUUUCUCCCGGGAAAAAUCAGGGAAUUUCCUCGGGAAAAUGGGAAAAGUGGGAAUUUUCUGUGGGAAAAUGGGAAUUUCCUCGGGAAAACUGGGAAUUUUCCUCAGGAAAAUGGGGAUUUGUCCAAGAGAAAAUUGGGAAUUUCUCCUGGAAAAUCAGGGAAUUUCUCCCGGAAAACUGGGAAUUUUCCUCGGGAAAAUGGGAAUUUCUCCUGGAAAACUGGGAAUUUCUCCCGGGAAAAAUCAGGGAAUUUCCUCGGGAAAAUGGGAAAACUGGGAAUUUUCUGUGGGAAAAUGGGAAUUUCUCCUGGAAAACUGGGAAUUUUCCUCAGGAAAAUGGGAAUUUCUCCUGGAAAAAUCAGGGAAUUUCCUCGGGAAAAUGGGAAAAUGGGAAUUUUCUGUGGGAAAAUGGGGAUUUGUCCAAGAGAAAAUUGGGAAUUUCUCCUGGAAAAUCAGGGAAUUUCUCGGGGAAAAGUGGGAAUUUUCUUCUGGAAAAUGGGAAUUUUCCUGGGAAACUGGGAAUUUCUCCUGGGAAAUCAUGGAUUUAUCUUGGAAAAGUGGGAAUUUUCUGGGGGAAAAUGGGAAUUUCUCUGGAAAACUGGGAAUUUCUCCCUGGAAAAUCAGGGAAUUUCUCCCGGAAAAAUCAGGGAAUUUCCUCGGGAAAAUGGGAAAAGUGGGAAUUUUCUGUGGGAAAAUGGGAAUUUCCUCGGGAAAAAUGGGAAUUUCUGCUGGAAAACUGGGAAUUUUCUGGGGGAAAAUGGGAAUUUCUCCUGGAAAAUCACGGAUUUAUCUUGGAAAAGUGGGAAUUUUCUGGGGGAAAAUGGGAAAAACGGGGAUUUGUCCAGCAGAAAAUUGGGAAUUUCUUCCAGGAAAAUGGGAAUUUCUCCCAGAAAAUCAGGAAUUUUCCCUGGGAAAUGGGGAUUUCUCCCGGAAAAGUGGGAAUUUCCUCGGGAAAAUGGGAAAAGUGGGAAUUUUCCAGGGGAAAAUGGGAAUUUGUCCAGCAGAAAAUUGGGAAUUUCUCCUGGAAAAGCGGGAAUUUUCCCCGGAAAAUUGGGAAUUUCUCUGGAAAACUGGGAAUUUCCUGCUGGAAAAUUGGGAAUUUCUCCCAGAAAAUCAGGGAUUUCUCUCGGGAAAAUGGGAAUUUCUCCCGGAAAACCGAGAAUUUUCUGUGGGAAAAUGGGAAUCCCAUUCCCAAGAAUUCCCAGGAAUUCCAUGGAUCAAACGAGAUUAAAAAAAAUCCCAAAUUCCCAUCCCAAAUCCCCUUUUUUUUUUUGGGGGGGGGACACUCUGGCAAUUUUUCCAUCAUUUUUUCCCAUCAUUUUUUCCAUAAUUUUUUUCCAUUUUCCCAUCAUUUUUCCAUAAUUCAUCCCAUCAUUUUUUUCCCAUCAUUUUUCCACAAUUUCCCACCAUUUUCCCAUCAUUUUUUUCCCAUUUUCCCAUCAUUUUUCCAUCAUUUUUCCAUCUUUAUUUCCCAUCAUUUUUCCAUCAUUUUUUCCCAUUUUUCCAUCAUUUUUCCACCAUUUUUUUCCCUUUUCCCACCCCUUUUCCCACCAUUUUUCCAUCAUUUUUUCCCAUGA
ensembl:lncRNA